rnacentral:tRNA from 1 species
GGGCGGUUAGCUCAGCUGGUAGAGCAUCUCGUUUACACCGAGAGGGUCGGCGGUUCGAUCCCGUCACCGCCCACCA